rnacentral:lncRNA from 1 species
UCCUGCCUUGCCUUCACUCGCGGCCAACACUCCACUAUUUAGCCUUGCAUUUUCUUCAAAUUCUCUUACUUCUGGAUUCCAUCAAAAUAAUAAUAUUGGAAACGAAUCUGGUAAACCAACCUGAUGUGUGAUCUUUCCUUGUAGUGUAGACCAAGGAAUGAAUGUCUAAUUGCAGAACAGGUUGCACCAGGCAGGGGGCCUGGAGAGGGCGGAGUUUGGGAUCACUUUCUCAAGGCAUGCCCUGCCUCUGCCUCAGGGUGACAGGGUGGGUGCCCAGAGCUCCUUGUGGAGAUAACCCAUCUCUAGCGAGAGCCUAGCCUUUCCAGCCAUCACUGUGUACCAGGGUGCGACCAGGCUGAACUCCAGGCCUGCCACUCAGGAGGAAAGGAUCUGACUCAGUUUUUCCUCUCAGUCUCUUUUCAUCUAACCAGUUCACCCGCCAACUGAAACUCCCUCACUAGACCUAACCAUGCUUCUUCCAGGCGCAGAAGGCAGGAGCCCAGAACUGUCUGGUGGGCAUUGAUCACGUGAUAAACUGAGCGUCCACUCUCGGCUCCACUUUAUCCUCCACUGAAGAGGUCGAAGCAUGUCAUUGACUUUUGGAAUAGGCUUGUCUUCUUCACAAACCCAGGUAGGUGUGUGGUAGCUUCAUUUAUUCAACAACAGUGUUUGAGCACCUACCUGAUACCAAAUGUUGCCCUUACUGUUGGGGCCGCAGUGGUAAGUAUGAACUUCCCAUAUGAUCAGGAGGAGAGGCAGUCAUCAAACGACCACGCAAGUAAUUAUAAAACUCCAGCCUCCAAAAGAGAGUAAAUAUGAUGAGGGCUGCCUGUGAAAGAGAGUAACUCAGUGUGGACACCAGAAAGACUUUGCUAAGGAAGUCACCUUUGAACUGUGAUCCGCAGGAAGGAUGGCAUUAACGAGGAGAAAGACAGGGAGGCUGGGGUCUGGAUGAGUGUUCCAGACAGAGGGAACAGCGUGUGCAAAGGAUCAAUGGAAGAAAAGCACCUGGUGGACUUGAGGAAGUGACAGAGAGAAAGUCAGGCAGGGGACAGGAGCUUUGGGCACAUUAGGCCCCUUGAGAACCGAAAAAGAGCCAAGGGCAGAUCGUGCGGCCUUGAAAACCAGCCUGAAGAGAUGGGUCUUUACAUGAAGCCAUUACCGUGUUCUCAGGAGGUGGUGCAGUAAGAUGACCCUUAUGUCUUGAAAUUUUCCCUUUGGCUGUAAUGUGGAAAACGGAUUAGAAGUGGGGCCAAAAUGGGUAGAGGUGGACCCGUUAGGAAGCUGCUGCAGUAAUCCUUUAGAAAGAUCACAGCCUUCUUUAUUAGAGUGAUGGCCAUGGGGAAGGUAGAUGGAUUUGAGGGACAUAUUUCUUAAGCUGGCUUUUAUGAUUUUUUAAAAAUUGAAAUAUAGCCAACUUACAGGGUUAUGUCAGUUUCUGGUGUACAGCAACGUGCUUUGUUAUACACACAUACAUCUAUAUAAUACAUAUAUAUUCUUUUUUAUAUUCUUUUCCAUUAGAGGUUAUUACAGGAUACUGAAUAUCGUUCCCUGUGCUAUACAGUAGGACUUUGUUGUCUAUCUUUUUAUAUACAGUAUUUCGUACCAGCUAAUCCCAAACUCCCAAAUGAUCGCUCCCUCACCCCCUUUCCCCUCUGGUAACCAUAAGCUGGUUUUCUAAGUCUGUGAGUCUGUUUCUGCUUCGUAAAUAAGUUCUUUUGUGUCAUAUGAGGGAUAUUGACUAGCUAAAGUGUAUGGGACAGAGGGCCAUAGCAGAAGGAAGUCAGAAUAAUACAGUGGUUAAAACCUUGGGUUUUAAAGCAGGAAACUCAAGCCUUGUGUCUCAGCUCCAUCAUUAAGUACCUGUGUGAUUUUCAGCUAGUAAUUUAACCUCGCACAAGUUUAGACUUUCCAAACCUGUAAUCAGGGUUAUAACAGCUUAUCUCACUCAUAGGGGUUGCGGGGACUAAAUAAGCUAAUAAUAGGAAGUACUUCAUACUUCAUUGCCUGGCAUGUGGUCAGGAAAUGCGAUAUAAUUGACACCAUUAUUUUAUAGUUAUUAUUACUCUUAUUCUAGAUGUUUCGGAAGUUGGCAAAUAAAGGGAACACCAUCUCUGCUUUGCUUUGCAACAGGCUGAUUGGCCUAAAUCACCAGUGUCUGAGAACAGCAAAAUAUAACCAUGGGGCCACCGCAGAUUGAGGUGGACAGCAACCCGAUUUUCUCCUCCACGGAGCCUAUGGCCUGUCCCCUCACUGGUCUGCUCUUCAUCCUGUCUCGGUUUACACAGAAUCCUAGGCCUGUACACCACGGCAGCCAGGCCCCCAGUACCUCCUUUCGGCCUUAGUAGGAGGUGGCGAAGAGCAGGCAAAUAUUGCCCAGUGGUUUCACCUCAGUUUUAAACCAAUGCCUGGAUGGUCGUGUUCCACAUAUUUGUAGAACAGCUCACAGUGCCCACAUGAACUCAGCAAAUAUGAGUUUAUAUGUCUAUCGUUUCUCUUAUGUAACUGUGUUAACAUUAUGGCAACAUUUUAUCACAAUCAAAAUAUGGUCCGGUUACCAAAAGUAGCAGCCCAGGGUCUUACCAGAGGUGCAUCUUUACAGGGAUGAGCACAAGUGCGAUUCCACAAAGGGGUCUCUGGAAGUUCCCCUGUGGUGCAGCGGGUUAAAGCUCCAGCAUUGCCACAGCUGUGCUGCAGGUUGCAACUGCAGUGCAGCUUUGAUCACUGACCGGGGAACUUCCACAUGCAGAAAAAUAAAGGGGGGGUGGUUCUUUUUCUACUUCCUUCCAUUAGCCUUAAGUCUGUUCAGAACAAACUUCUAUGCACAGUGGGGGGAAACUCGAAACGAAAUGACCCUUGCUUUUUGAAGGUGAAGGGGCUUCGCAUCCUCAAGGUCUUGAUGCCCUCAGUGAGGGCCUGGUCGGGUUAGGCAGCCCCUUACUAGGCAGUUGUCUUCCUAGGUGGUUGUCCUUCCAGUCCACUAAUGAGAGAGGAAGGACAGACAGGGAAGGAGGGGCUUCCCUCUCCUGGCAAGGAAGCCUCAGGAGGAUUUGGGGUUCAAAGAACGAGGAUUCAACCAAAUCCUCCCAAAUGCCCCUUUUGCAGUUCUCAAUAAGGACCCUACCCUUCACAUGAGAGGCCUAGCAAGGCUUUGAAUUCAUCUUAAUUAUAAAUUUACAAGCUGCAGGCUGAUGUUUGGCUCUAUCAACACUGGAACUGCGAAGGUGAAAGUCCUAGAUGAACGCUGGGUCUCUGGCCACGCCUUGAUCCAAGACUGGUCACCUGAACCAAUGAGCCUGUCAUUUUCUUGGCUUUAUUGUCUUCAUUGUCAGAAGUAGCGGACUCACCCCAUAGUUCUUCUAGUUUUCUUUCCUACCGUAAGAUGCCACUUCAAUAGCCAAACUGGUGUCUCCAGCAGGCCCUUAAUUUCAGGUGGUGAUUUCUUGGCCACUACAUGCCAUGUCUCUUCAGAAUUCCAUUGUACAUUGGAAUCGUAUCAUCACUGUAUGUGACCCCAACCAGUUCAACUAACCCAGACGAGAUUCUCAUCUUUCAAGAUCUGAACCCAGUCUUCACAUGAGAUAUUGUGUCAGGAUUCACUAAAGAAAAAUACAAACAAUGUGAGGAUUUGAAAGAGGAUUUAGGUGUUCAUAGUUGUGCUAGAUAGGUGACCAUUCAGUAUGGCUGCCUUUAGCUCUCAGGUAACACCGGUGCAGGUGCAGUUCAGAACUCAGCAACUCACUGAUGCCACCUAGAGGUCAAGACAGUGCACCAAAUGGCCGGCCACGUCACAGCCGCCUCGGCUCUGACUCCCUGUGAUGCUUAGGACUGUGUCAUUGCUUCUGGAGGGACAACUUUUCCAUGUCCCAUUUGCCUUCCAAAUAUCACCUAAGGAGUUCCCAUCAUGGUGCAGCGGAAACGAAUCUGACUAGGAACCAUGAAGUUGCAGGUUCGAUCCCUGGCCUCACUCAGCAGGUUAAGGAUCUGGCAUUGCCAUGAGCUGGGGUGCAGGUCGCAGACAUGGCUCUGGUCUGGCAUUGCUGUGGCUGUGGUGUAGGCCGGUAGCUACAGCUCUGAUUACACCCCUAGCCUGGGAACCUCUAUAUGUGGCAGAUGAGGCCCUAAAAAAACAAAAGACAAAAACCAAACCAAACCAAAACAAAACAACUAUCGUCUAAGAGCAUUGGAAGAAUGCAAAUUUCGUCCACCUCCACACCCUAGGAAAGUGAGCCUGAGAAAUGUAAUCCCCAGACUUCCCUGAGAUAUAGGAGAGAGCAGAGAACCGACUGUUGGUGAAAAUUGUUUGCUAACCCACGAUAUUCAGUUUAAACACAGACUUGGGGUGAAAAGGAUAAGGCAAGCUUAUAUUUAAUUUAAAACACUGAAUCUUCUUAUUUUUAUUUUUAUUUUUUUUCUUUUGAGGGUUGCCCUUGUGGCAUAUGGAGGUUCCCAGGCGAGGGGUCAAAUGGGAGCUGUAGCCGCCAGCCUACACCACAGUCACAGCAAUGUCAGAUCCAAGCUGCAUCUGCAGCCUGCACCACAGCUCACAGCAAUGCCGGAUCCCCAACCCACUGAGCAAGGUCAGGGAUCGAACCCUCAUUUUCAUGAAUAACAGAUUCUUUUCCACUGUGUCACAAUGGAAACUCCCAUCACUGAGUCUUUUUAAUCUAUUUUAACUCUCAUAUUGGUAUAAUCUUAGAUUUUAAAAGUUAGGAUUUUAAGACUGUUUUUGUUUGUUUGUUUGUCUUUUGUCCUUUUAGGGCAGCACCCAUGGCAUGUAGAGGUUCCCAGGCUAGGGGGCUAAUCGCAGCUAUAGCUGCCGGCCUAUACCACAGCCACAGCAAUGCCGAAUCCUUAACCCACUGAGCGAGGCCUGGGAUCGAACCCACAACUUCAUGGUUCCUAGUCGGAUUCAUUUCCGCUGCACCACAACGGGAACUCCAAGACUGUAUUUUAAAAGAAUACCAAAAAAUGGCAUUGCUGUUGAAUUUUAAGAUGACAUUAUUAACUACCUAGUGUAAUCUUGUCACUUUCUUCCCCAUAAUUCCUUCAGAAGCAGUUCCUGUUCUUCUUAAACCAGUAUUAUCUUUCCCCUACUUUAGUCGUCUACUUUAGUGGUCUGCUCCCAUUAUCAUGGUCUUGACCUUGUCAUUGUAAAUGAUGGCAAUUUAUUUGGUAAUGAUAAUCUCAAUUGUUAAUACUCCACUCUGACUACUUCCCCUUUUUGUUUCAAACCCACUCCUUCUUUUGCUUCAAUUCCAAUAAUCCCUCACCUGAACAGAACCUUAUAUAUAUUGAUAGGGCCACAGCCAGCUUUUAAGAUGCUUCAAUUCCUUCUUUUGGAUACUCUUAUAUAGACCAUUUUUGAAGAAGUAAAAUGAUCAUUGUUUGCAGAUGAUACAAUACUAUAGAUAAAUAUCCUAAAGACACUACCAAAAAAUUACUAGAACCCAGCAGUGAAUUCAGUAAAGUUUUAGGACACAAAAUUAAUGUGCAGAAAUCUGUUGUGUGUCUAGGCACCAACAACAAACUAUUAGAGAAAUUAAGGAAAGCAUCCCAUUUACCACUGCAUCAAAAAGAAUAAAUACCUAGGAAUAAUUCUAAGCGAGAAGAUAAAAGACCUAUACUCAGAAAACUAUAAGACACUGAUAAAAGGAACUGAAGGUGACACCAACAGAUAGAAAGAUAUACUCUGAUCAUAGAUUGGAAGAAUUAAUAUUUUUACAAUGACCAUACUACCCAAGGCAACCCACAGAUUCCAUGCAAUUCCUAUCAAAAUGGCAAUGGCAUUUUUAACAGAACUAGAACAAAUAUUUCUACAAUUUGUAUGACAACACAAAAGACCCUGAAGAGCUAAAACAGUCUUGAAGAACAAAACUAGAGCUAUCACACUCCUUGAUUUCAAACUCUAUUAUAAAACUACAGUAACCAAAACAAUGGUACUGAAACAAAAAUAAACACAUAUGUUAAUGAAACAAUAUAGAGAGCCUAGAAACAAAUGCACACUUGUGUGUUCAAUUUGUCUGUGAGAAAAGAGGCAGCCAUAGACAACUGGGAAAAGACAGCCUCUUCAAUAAAUGGUCUGGGGAAAACUUUUGAUGCAAAAGAGUCAAACUGGGCUACUUUCUCUCAGAAUGUACAAAAAUAAACUCGAAAUAGAUCAAAGACUUAAAUGUAAGACCUGAAACCAUAAAACUCUUGAGGGAAAACAUAAGCAGUAAGCUCUUUGACAUUGGCCUUAGCAAUAUUUGGGGGGCGGUGUCUUCUCAGGCAAGAGAAACAAAAGCAAAAAUAGACAAAUGGGGCUAUAUCAAACUAAAAAGCUUUCGCACAGAGAAGGAAACGAAAUUAAAAGGCUGUCUACUGAAUGGGAGAAGAUAUGUGCUGUAUUGUUUAUAAAAGAUAAGCUAUGGAAGCAACUUAGUGCCUGUGGAUAGAUUAAUGGGUAAAAAAGACGUGGUACACACACACACACACACACACACACACACUCACUCACUCACUCACUCACUCAAUUGGCUGAACCACAUACCAUGUUAAAUUCAACUCUGCCUAUUGGUGCCUGUACUCACAGUGCUGAGCUUGGCUGAAGAGAAAUCCAAUCAUGUUCUCUGGGCGUUGCAUUCAUGAUCACUCAAUCGAACGCCCCAAAUACUCUGUUUCUCUAACCAAUACACUCUCCCACUUCCCUGCACAAAUUUCAUACAUUUCUCUUUCCACAAACUUCCAACAUUUUUCCCCAUAUCUACAUUUUCAACUGCCAACCUUUCUUCCUAUUUCUCUGGAACUUUUUAAGCAAUCCAAAGAGAAUUUCCAUAAGCUUCCACCCGCCUCUGUACUUUGUGCGUCUGUGCUAUAUAUAAUAUUCAAAUGUGUCUUCUAUUGCUACAAAUGAACUCUUCAAGCUCCUCACUAAGGCUAAUUCCUCCACUUAUGUGCUCAAUCUAUCCUUCCUGAUGACAGUAUUUUUCUCUUUCCAGACUCAUUCAUUUCUUUUCUUUUUACUAGUUCAUUCCCAUCAGUAUGGAAACAUGCUGCUAUUGAUCU